rnacentral:rRNA from 1 species
UACAGAGGGUGCGAGCGUUGUUCGGAAUUAUUGGGCGUAAAGAGCUCGUAGGCGGUUUGUCGCGUCGAAUGUGAAAACCCGGGGCUCAACCCCGGGCCUGCAUUCGAUACGGGCAGACUAGAGUUCGGUAGGGGAGUCUGGAAUUCCUGGUGUAGCGGUGAAAUGCGCAGAUAUCAGGAGGAACACCGGUGGCGAAGGCGGGUCUCUGGGCCGAUACUGACGCUGAGGAGCGAAAGCGUGGGGAGCGAACAGG